rnacentral:rRNA from 1 species
AACGAACGCUGGCGGCAGGCUUAACACAUGCAAGUCGAACGCACCUUUCGGGGUGAGUGGCAGACGGGUGAGUAACGCGUGGGAAUCUACCCUUCUCUACGGGAUAGCUCCGGGAAACUGGAAUUAAUACCGUAUACGUCCUGAGGGAGAAAGAUUUAUCGGGGAAGGAUGAGCCCGCGUUGGAUUAGCUAGUUGGUGGGGUAAAGGCCUACCAAGGCGACGAUCCAUAGCUGGUCUAAGGGGAUGAUCAGCCACAUUGGGACUGGGACACGGCCCAAACUCCUACGGGAGGCAGCAGUGGGGAAUAUUGGACAAUGGGCGCAAGCCUGAUCCAGCCAUGCCGCGUGAGUGAUGAAGGCCCUAGGGUUGUAAAGCUCUUUCAGUGGGGACGAUAAUGACGGUACCCACAGAAGAAGCCCCGGCUAACUUCGUG